GUCCAGGGAUGGGAACCGAACCCACAGUGUUCCGUUUACCGGGCAGAUGCCAUGUCCACUAGGUUACCCUGGA
rnacentral:tRNA from 1 species